GUCUACAGCCAUGCCACUCUGAACAAGCCCAAUGUCUGAUCUCGGAAGCUAAGCAGGGUCAGGCCUGGUUAGUAUUUGGCUGGCAGACCACCUAGGAAGAGCAAGUGCUAUAGGCA
rnacentral:rRNA from 1 species